GAUGAAGAACGCAGCGAAAUGCGAUAAGUAAUGUGAAUUGCAGAAUUCAGUGAAUCAUCGAAUCUUUGAACGCACAUUGCGCCCCUUGGUAUUCCGGGGGGCAUGCCUGUUCGAGCGUCAUUUCAACCCUCAAGCUCUGCUUGGUAUUGGGUACCGUCCUUUGCGGGCGCGCCUCAAAGACCUCGGCGGUGGCGUCUUGCCUCAAGCGUAGUAGAAUACACCUCGCUUCGGAGCGUAAGGCGUCGCCCGCCGGACGAACCUUCUGAACUUUUCUCAAGGUUGACCUCGGAUCAGGUAGGGAUACCCGCUGAACUUAAGCAUAUCAAUAAGCGGAGGA
rnacentral:misc_RNA from 1 species